AUACCUCGGAAAAAGAAAAGAAAAGAAAAAUAAAAGAAAGACGUCGAUAGUUUCCGAUCUUUCUCACUUUCUCUCCUCUUUCGAUGUUUGAUCUCACUCAUCUUUGAACAACUGGAAAUUUCAAUCACUCGAAUUUUCUAGCUCGAAUUGGAUAAAAAGAUGUCAGUUCCUCGAUCUAUGGAUAAAUCAAGUGCUCUUGAAUACAUUAACCAGAUGUUUCCUACAGAGGCAUCGUUAUCUGGAGUUGAGCCUCUAAUGCAAAAGAUUCAUGGUGAAAUCCGUCGAGUGGAUGCUUCCAUACUGGGAGCUGUUCGACAGCAGAGUAAUUCAGGUACCAAGGCCAAAGAAGAUCUUGCUGCUGCUACGCGUGCAGUGGAGGAACUCAUGUACAAGAUACGGGAGAUAAAAAAUAAGGCUGAACAAAGUGAGACAAUGGUUCAGGAGAUUUGUCGUGACAUAAAGAAGCUCGAUUUUGCAAAGAAGCACAUAACAACUACUAUUACAGCACUUCAUCGUCUUACCAUGUUAGUAUCUGCUGUUGAGCAACUUCAAGUGAUGGCUUCAAAAAGACAAUAUAAGGAGGCAGCUGCUCAAUUGGAGGCAGUAAAUCAGUUAUGCAGUCAUUUUGAAGCCUAUAGGGAUGUCCCUAAAAUAACAGAAUUGCGAGAGAAGUUCAAGAAUAUUAAACAAAUCUUGAAGUCUCAUGUUUUUUCUGACUUCUCAAGCCUGGGUACUGGGAAAGAGACAGAAGAAACUAAUUUACUGCAGCAGCUAUCAGAUGCUUGUUUGGUGGUUGAUGCAUUGGAGCCUUCUGUACGAGAAGAACUUGUUAAAAUAUUCUGCAACAGGGAACUUACUUCCUAUAGACAAAUUUUCGAAGGAGCUGAACUUGCAAAGUUGGAUAAAACGGAAAGGAGAUAUGCUUGGAUCAAGCGUCGGUUGAGAACAAAUGAGGAGAUAUGGAAAAUUUUCCCUUCUUCAUGGCAUGUCCCUUAUUUAUUAUGCAUUCAAUUCUGCAAGCUCACGAGAACACAACUUGAGGAAAUACUUGAUAACAUGAAGGAGAAACCAGAUGUGGGGACACUGCUGCUGGCGCUUCAGCGAACUUUGGAGUUUGAAGAAGAACUGGCAGAGAAAUUUGGAGGAAGUUCACCAGCUAAAGAGACUAAUCAUGACACUGAUGACACAGAAAGAGGGCCCAAUUUCAGUCAAGCUGUAUCAGACAUCAAAAAGAAAUAUGAAAAGAAGCUCGCUGCUAAUCAAGGCAGUGGAACUGAUGAAACCGACGGUCUUAAAGAAUUUUCUGUGCCUGGAGCUGGGUUCAAUUUCCGUGGAAUCAUCUCAUCUUGCUUUGAACCUCAUCUAAACGUGUAUGUAGAAUUGGAAGAAAAAACACUGAUGGAUCAUCUGGAGAAACUUGUUCAGGAAGAAACUUGGGAUACCGAAGAAGGAAGCCAGACUAAUAUCUUAUCCAGUAGCAUGCAGGUCUUUCUGAUAAUCAGACGGAGCUUGAAGAGAUGCAGUGCUUUGACAAAGAACCAGACAUUAUUUAAUCUGUUUAAGGUGUUUCAAAAAAUUCUUAAAGCAUAUGCAACUAAGUUGUUUGCCAGACUGCCAAAGGGCGGGACAGGAAUUGUGGCUGCGGCCACUGGAACAGAUGGACAGAUUAAGACAUCUGAAAAAGAUGAAAGGAUGAUCUGCUAUAUUGUGAACACUGCUGAAUACUGUCAUAAAACGUCAGGUGAAUUGGCUGAAAAUAUAGCUAAGGUUAUUGAACCCGUAUUUGCAGAUAAAGUUGAUAUGUCAGAAGUACAGGAUGAAUAUUCAGCAGUAAUUACAAAAUCAUUGAUAACACUGGUGCAAGGUUUGGAAACUAAAUUUGAUAUUGAAAUGGCUGCUAUGACGCGUGUUUUAUGGGCAACUCUUGAAAGUGUUGGCGACCAAUCAGAGUAUGUAAAUGGAAUAAAUACAAUAAUUACAAGCAGUAUACCUAUACUUGGGACACUUCUGUCCCCAAUUUACUUCCAGUUUUUCUUGGACAAGCUUGCUUCUUCACUUGGUCCCCGUUUCUACCAGAACAUUUUUAAAUGCAAGCAGAUAUCAGAAACUGGAGCCCAGCAGAUGCUCUUGGAUACUCAAGCUGUGAAAACAAUUCUUUUGGAGGUUCCUUCUCUUGCUAAACAAACAUCUGGUGCUGCUAACUACUCCAAAUACGUUAGCCGUGAGAUGAGUAAAGCAGAGGCUCUUUUGAAGGUUAUAUUGUCUCCUUUAGAUUCCGUAGCAGAUACUUAUCGUGCUUUAUUACCGGAAGGAACUACGUCAGAAUUUCAGCGAAUCCUGGAGCUCAAGGGUCUUAAAAAAGCUGACCAGCAAACCAUACUAGAUGAUUUUAACAAACAUGGUCCAAGCAUCAAGCAUCCAUCAAUGGCCUCUGCUGUUACAAUUGCCCCUGCUCUACCUGCAGUGCCAGCUAUAAGCAGUCCUGCUACAUCAGCUGUUGCUGCUUCUCGAGAGGAUGUGCUUGCAAGAGCUGCUGCAUUGGGUCGAGGAGCAGCCACUACUGGUUUCAAGAGAUUCCUUGCACUAACUGAAGCAGCUAAGGACAGAAAGGAUGGGCCUUUCAGAAAACUCUUUAAUCCAUGAGGAUCUUAUUAUUGGUUGUGCAAAAGGAAAGUCAUUUUUUGUCUCAGUUGUCUGUCCAUCCUUCUCACUAAUCAACUUAUACGACCUCAUCUCUUUUCCAUUUUUGCCUGGAGGAACUCUAAGAAACCAUCUUUAUUAGCUUGCGGUUGGAGAGGAAUGUUGAUAAUGUAUAUGCGGUACUUGUUGAAUGUGGGUUGUUGAUCAAUUUUGUGUCCCAGCUGGUUUCUGUGGGUAUUUGUUGGUAAAAUGCGCUGUUAUCUCUCUCUUAUAAGCUGAAGAUGCUGAGUAACUGAUUACAAUGUCCAGAACGAGUUGCUCUAUAAAAAGGUAAUAAUUCACCCCUUGAAUAUAAGGAGUCUCAAAAGUUUUAAAAACAUUUGUAGUAAAAGAAAGUAUAUAAAAAAACUUUAAACGAACUAACCGAUUAUAAUUGUUAAAUCACCACGCGUUCCCUUCUCACUUCAGAUUAUUAUUUUAGGAUGUUACUUUAUCUGUAAUUCAAUGUUAUCCUAAUGUUGUUUCUUUCAUAUAUUGCGAGUUAUUGCUUGUAUUACACGGGCCAAAAAACUAGUUACUUUAUCUUUGUGAGGUUAUUCAUUCUAAAUAGUUACAUUAGUUUAACUAGUUAUACUCUUUCCCAAAAAAAAAAAAAAAAAUUAACUAGUUAUACCAUGCUCUAAACUUAGCUUCAUUCCUAAACUCUGUCUUUGUUUUUAUUUUACUAUUAUAUUGGUGGUUAAAUUCGUAAAAACUUUCCAAACAUUCAUUCAUAUUCACUAAGUGAAACUACACAGUCACAUACUUAUUAAAACCCAACCCUAGCUAAAUUUGUGAACACAUUCAUAGUCCAAUUUGGUCAAAGAAACUAAAAAGAAGUUCCAAACUAAACUCGAAGUGUUGAAAAAAAAAAAACCUACUACUUUACCUUUAUUGGCUCAAUGAAAAUCGAUAAGUUCAAAAUCCUGCAUCGAAGAACAUUUCCAUGGAAUUAUCAUCAUCAAAUCCUUCUUUUCUUUCAAUGAUCUUCAAUGCAUGCUGCCAACAAUUGAUAG